GUGACCUGCGGAAGGAUCAUUAUC
rnacentral:rRNA from 1 species